CCUACGGGGCGCAGCAGUGAGGAAUAUUGGUCAAUGGUCGGGAGACUGAACCAGCCAAGCCGCGUGAGGGAUGAAGGUACAGAGUAUCGUAAACCUCUUUUGUCAGGGAACAAAGGCGGGGACGUGUCCCCGGAUGAGUGUACCUGAAGAAAAAGCAUCGGCUAACUCCGUGCCAGCAGCCGCGGUAAUACGGAGGAUGCGAGCGUUAUACGGUUUUAUUGGGUUUAAAGGGUGCGCAGGCGGUCUGUUAAGUCAGCGGUAAAAGCCCGGGGCUCAACCCCGGCCCGCCGUUGAAACUGGCAGUCUCGAGUUGGAGAGAAGUAUGCGGAAUGCGCGGUGUAGCGGUGAAAUGCAUAGAUAUCGCGCAGAACUCCGAUUGCGAAGGCAGCAUGCCGGCUCCACACUGACGCUGAGGCACGAAAGCGUGGGUAUCGAACAGGAUUAGAUACCCCUGUAGUC
rnacentral:rRNA from 1 species